rnacentral:rRNA from 1 species
UACGGAGGGGGUUAGCGUUGUUCGGAAUUACUGGGCGUAAAGGGUGCGUAGGCGGUCUGUUAAGUUAGAUGUGAAAAACUCUGGGCUCAACCCCAGAGCCCUGCAUCUAAAACUGGCAGGCUAGAGUUCUGGAGGGGGUAGCGGAAUUCUGGUGUAGCGGUGAAAUGCGCAGAUAUCAGGAGGAACACCGGUGGCGAAGGCGGGUCUCUGGGCAGUGAACUGACGCUGAGGAGCGAAAGCGUGGGUAGCAAACAGGA